rnacentral:rRNA from 1 species
UUCUGUAGGGGUGACCUGCGGAGGGAUCAUUACCGAGUUUACAACUCCCAAACCCAAUGUGAACGUUACCAAACUGUUGCCUCGGCGGGAUCUCUGCCCCGGGUGCGUCGCAGCCCCGGACCAAGGCGCCCGCCGGAGGACCAACCAAAACUCUUAUUGUAUACCCCCUCGCGGGUUUUUUUUAUAAUCUGAGCCUUCUCGGCGCCUCUCGUAGGCGUUUCGAAAAUGAAUCAAAACUUUCAACAACGGAUCUCUUGGUUCUGGCAUCGAUGAAGAACGCAGCGAAAUGCGAUAAGUAAUGUGAAUUGCAGAAUUCAGUGAAUCAUCGAAUCUUUGAACGCACAUUGCGCCCGCCAGUAUUCUGGCGGGCAUGCCUGUCCGAGCGUCAUUUCAACCCUCGAACCCCUCCGGGGGGUCGGCGUUGGGGAUCGGCCCUGCCUUGGCGGUGGCCGUCUCCGAAAUACAGUGGCGGUCUCGCCGCAGCCUCUCCUGCGCAGUAGUUUGCACACUCGCAUCGGGAGCGCGGCGCGUCCACAGCCGUUAAACACCCAACUUCUGAAAUGUUGACCUCGGAUCAGGUAGGAAUACCCGCUGAACUUAAGCAUAUCAAAA